CCUACGGGAGGCAGCAGUAGGGAAUGUUGCGCAAUGGGCGAAAGCCUGACGCAGCAACGCCGCGUGAACGAGACGCACUUCGGGGUGUAAAGGUCUGUCAGUGGGGACGAAAAAUGACGGUACCCACAGAGGAAGCACCGGCUAACUCCGUGCCAGCAGCCGCGGUAAUACGGAGGGUGCAAGCGUUGUCCGGAAUCAUUGGGCGUAAAGAGUUCGUAGGCGGCAUGUAAAGUCAGGUGUUAAAGGCGCAGGCUCAACCUGUGUAUGGCACUUGAUACUUGCAAGCUGGAUUGCGGUAGUGGUAACUGGAAUUCCUGGUGUAGCGGUGACAUGCUUAGCUCUCAGGAGGAACAUCGGUGGCGUACGCGCUUUACUGGGCCGUACUUGACGCUGCGGUACGACAGC
rnacentral:rRNA from 1 species